rnacentral:lncRNA from 1 species
GUGUUUUGCAGGACUGAUACGCUCUGGCCUCUGGCUCCUGGUUGCCCUUUGGUGGAGCCCUGGCCCCUGCGCCUGACCAGCCUUGACUUUGCCUGUGGUAGUCAUCCCUGCUUCUGCCCCUGCCACACCUCCACACCGAGAAGCAUCCUGCUGGGAGGGCUUCCUCUGCUGGGGCGCUCUGCGCUCACCUGUCUCCCUUGUCGGACUUGGAGUCUGAAGAGGAGGCCCAGACCGUCUUAGUCAACCUGCCACAGCCACAGCCUUUCCAUUCCAGGGCCUCGCCUCCUCACGCAGCAGCCCAUGACAACCGGAUGGACACUGGAGGGAGGCCGGGCUGACUCCGGGAGCAUGCCAGGCAGCCACACCUGGAUGCACCAGAGCUGGACGCACCUUUCCUCUUAGUGUAUUAAUCACCUGUGGAAUAAUGGCUAAAACAAGAACUGGGAGGUUCAGCGCACCCCCCCAAGCUCGGCCAGCAGCAGAGUGAGCACGUUCGACCUGGGGAAGGACACUUCUGUGGACAGGGCCUCCAGUGAAACUUCAGCGUCUUGGCUGAGCGUGUCUCCAGGCCUGGAGCCGUUGUUCGUCAGGGGCUGGCUGAGGGGUAGCUCAUCUCUGACACUGCUCAUCCCAUUCAUCAGAUGAGUAAGAGUUGUCCCCGUACGCACCAGCGGCCUGUGCUGACAUCUCUCGC